UGUUAAGACGGGAUUUCAUCCCCGGGA
rnacentral:sRNA from 1 species